UUCUUCUCCUCUUCUUCCAAACCCAUCCAUGAGCCUUCUUCCUCCAUGAUAACUCUCUCUACCUCCAUCCAUUCAUCAUCGAUGAUCCCUCAUUUCUCCUCCUCCUCUUUCUCCUCGCCUACUUCUCCUCCACAUCCUCCAUCAAGCCCACUUAUGAACCUUCUCUCUUCAUAGUGGCUUCCUCCACGUUUGCCCAUCUCACCAACAAACUCUCCAUCCUCUUUUUUCUCUCCCAUUUCUCUUCAUCCUCCUCCAAGUCUGCCCAUAUUCCUCUUCAUGGUGGCUCCUACUAUCUCCAUCUCUUCCUUACGGGGACCUCUCCUUCCUUCUCAUCAAUAUUUUUCUCUCAUUCUCUACCUCCUCCAAGUGCACUCAUGACCUCUCUUCUUCCUCCUUUUUCUCUUCACCCACUUCUUCUCUUCCUCCAAGUCCUCUCAUGACCCCUUCUCCGUAGUGGC
rnacentral:lncRNA from 1 species